UGCCCUAGUAACGGCGAGUGAAGCGGCAACAGCUCAAAUUUGAAAUCUGGCUUCGGCCCGAGUUGUAAUUUGCAGAGGAAGCUUUGGGCGCGGCACCUACUGAGUCCCCUGGAACGGGGCGCCAUAGAGGGUGAGAGCCCCGUAUGGUYGGAYGCCUAGCCUGUGUAAAGCUCCUUCGACGAGUCGAGUAGUUUGGGAAUGCUGCUCAAAAUGGGAGGUAAAUUUCUUCUAAAGCUAAAUACCGGCCAGAGACCGAUAGCGCACAAGUAGAGUGAUCGAAAGAUGAAAAGCACUUUGAAAAGAGGGUUAAAUAGCACGUGAAAUUGUUGAAAGGGAAGCGCUUGUGACCAGACUUGCGCCCGGCUGAUCAUCUGGUGUUCUCACCGGUGCACUCUGCCSGGCUCAGGCCAGCAUCGGUUCUCGCGGGGGGACAAAGGCCCUGGGAACGUAGCUCCUCCGGGAGUGUUAUAGCCCAGGGCGUAAUGCCCUCGCGGGGACCGAGGUUCGCGCAUCUGCAAGGAUGCUGGCGUAAUGGUCAUCAGCGACCCGUCUUGAAACACGGACCAAGGAGUCAAGGUUUUGCGCGAGUGUUUGGGUGUAAAACCCGCACGCGUAAUGAAAGUGAACGUAGGUGAGAGCUUCGGCGCAUCAUCGACCGAUCCUGAUGUUUUCGGAUGGAUUUGAGUAGGAGCGUUAAGCCUUGGACCCGAAAGAUGGUGAACUAUGCUUGGAUAGGGUGAAGCCAGAGGAAACUCUGGUGGAGGCUCGCAGCGGUUCUGACGUGCAAAUCGAUCGUCAAAUYUGAGCAUGGGGCGAAAGACUAAUCGAACC
rnacentral:rRNA from 1 species